AUUGAACGCUGGCGGCAUGCCUUACACAUGCAAGUCGAACGGCAGCGCGGACUUCGGUCUGGCGGCGAGUGGCGAACGGGUGAGUAAUACAUCGGAACGUACCCUGUUGUGGGGGAUAACUAGUCGAAAGAUUAGCUAAUACCGCAUACGACCUGAGGAUGUAAGUGGGGGAUCGCAAGGCCUCACGCAGCAGGACAGGCCGAUGUCUCAUUAGCUAGUUGGUGGGGUAAAGGCCCACCAAGGCGACGAUCAGUAGCUGGUCUGAGAGGACGAUCAGCCACAAUGGGACUGAGACACGGACCAGACUCCUACGGGAGGCAGCAGUGGGGAAUUUUGGACAAUGGGGGCAUCCCUGAUCCAGCAAUGCCGCGUGUGUGAAGAAGGCCUUCGGGUUGUAAAGCACUUUUGUCCGGAAAGAAAUCGCGCUGGUUAAUACCUGGCGUGGAUGACGGUACCGGAAGAAUAAGCACCGGCUAACUACGUG
rnacentral:rRNA from 1 species